UUUGCUGGGGACAGGUGUGAGUGUAACAGACCCAGGGUAACGUGUGUAACAGUUAGGGAGUCUGUUGCUGAACCCAGAGUUAGUGAUGUUGGAUGUACAGUAGGCCUACACUGUCCUUCCGUAUUGGUACUGAUUAAAGAAGAUUAGGCUAAAUUGAAGCCAGCAGGACAGGACUGGCGAACGCUACCAAUCAAGAAAGGACAUUGGUAGCCUACUUUGGCCUAGCAAACACACCCAAGAUGGAUCCACAGGUGUACUGGGUGGCAAAAUGCUAACUAUUGAAAUGCACACGGUCGAUUCUCCAGCGGCGUGUUCUACAUUUACUUUUACCUUCACUCAGGUUUGCGAGGCCUUUCUGCUGUUUGUGACAAUAAUCCCUGAAAUGACUGUAGAGCCUCUUUCAGCUAAAAAUUUUUGAACAAUGUGGAAGCGCAGUGGGACUGAGGUGCCGAGUGGACUGGUUAUACUGGGACAGAGAGGCUGAGUGGACUAGUUAAAUGCUUUGAGAAUGGACGAGCGGAGAAAUGGAAGAAGGCCUUCAGAAUGUCGUUCAGACAGGGCCGGUUGUUCCCCUAUCAAUACGACAUCCCAGGGUGAAGCCUUGAAUCGGACAAGAGACAGAAGUCACUGAUGGGAUUGCUGCUAGAACCGCAGGCGGGAGGCCAGGCAGGCUAACAAAUGAAGAAAGAAUGGCUGAUCAAGCGCAGCAGGGGAAGAAGGCAGGCUGGGAGGCCAAAGGGAUUUGUGACUCUGUUUAUGUGUGUGUGUACGAGCAUGUGUGCAUGUCUGGGCAUAGUAGUCAUAAGAUUUUGCUGUUUUCUGACUGGAAAAAAAGAAGCUUUAUAUGAGGAUGCACACUGCCUUCAGGCCAACUGUGUAGAGUCCAGGAAAAAGUUUUUCUCUGUUAACCAAAGUGAACAUACUGUAAUUACUAAGCUGCUUCUAGAUGAAAGGCAAAGUUGUGUGCGAUUGAUAUUUUA